rnacentral:rRNA from 8 species
AGAGUUUGAUCAUGGCUCAGAUUGAACGCUGGCGGCAGGCCUAACACAUGCAAGUCGAGCGGUAGCACAGAGAGCUUGCUCUCGGGUGACGAGCGGCGGACGGGUGAGUAAUGUCUGGGAAACUGCCUGAUGGAGGGGGAUAACUACUGGAAACGGUAGCUAAUACCGCAUAAUGUCGCAAGACCAAAGUGGGGGACCUUCGGGCCUCAUGCCAUCAGAUGUGCCCAGAUGGGAUUAGCUAGUAGGUGGGGUAACGGCUCACCUAGGCGACGAUCCCUAGCUGGUCUGAGAGGAUGACCAGCCACACUGGAACUGAGACACGGUCCAGACUCCUACGGGAGGCAGCAGUGGGGAAUAUUGCACAAUGGGCGCAAGCCUGAUGCAGCCAUGCCGCGUGUGUGAAGAAGGCCUUCGGGUUGUAAAGCACUUUCAGCGGGGAGGAAGGCGAUAAGGUUAAUAACCUUGUCGAUUGACGUUACCCGCAGAAGAAGCACCGGCUAACUCCGUGCCAGCAGCCGCGGUAAUACGGAGGGUGCAAGCGUUAAUCGGAAUUACUGGGCGUAAAGCGCACGCAGGCGGUCUGUCAAGUCGGAUGUGAAAUCCCCGGGCUCAACCUGGGAACUGCAUUCGAAACUGGCAGGCUAGAGUCUUGUAGAGGGGGGUAGAAUUCCAGGUGUAGCGGUGAAAUGCGUAGAGAUCUGGAGGAAUACCGGUGGCGAAGGCGGCCCCCUGGACAAAGACUGACGCUCAGGUGCGAAAGCGUGGGGAGCAAACAGGAUUAGAUACCCUGGUAGUCCACGCCGUAAACGAUGUCGAUUUGGAGGUUGUGCCCUUGAGGCGUGGCUUCCGGAGCUAACGCGUUAAAUCGACCGCCUGGGGAGUACGGCCGCAAGGUUAAAACUCAAAUGAAUUGACGGGGGCCCGCACAAGCGGUGGAGCAUGUGGUUUAAUUCGAUGCAACGCGAAGAACCUUACCUGGUCUUGACAUCCACAGAACUUUCCAGAGAUGGAUUGGUGCCUUCGGGAACUGUGAGACAGGUGCUGCAUGGCUGUCGUCAGCUCGUGUUGUGAAAUGUUGGGUUAAGUCCCGCAACGAGCGCAACCCUUAUCCUUUGUUGCCAGCGGUUAGGCCGGGAACUCAAAGGAGACUGCCAGUGAUAAACUGGAGGAAGGUGGGGAUGACGUCAAGUCAUCAUGGCCCUUACGACCAGGGCUACACACGUGCUACAAUGGCAUAUACAAAGAGAAGCGACCUCGCGAGAGCAAGCGGACCUCAUAAAGUAUGUCGUAGUCCGGAUUGGAGUCUGCAACUCGACUCCAUGAAGUCGGAAUCGCUAGUAAUCGUAGAUCAGAAUGCUACGGUGAAUACGUUCCCGGGCCUUGUACACACCGCCCGUCACACCAUGGGAGUGGGUUGCAAAAGAAGUAGGUAGCUUAACCUUCGGGAGGGCGCUUACCACUUUGUGAUUCAUGACUGGGGUGAAGUCGUAACAAGGUAACCGUAGGGGAACCUGCGGUUGGAUCACCU